CGAAGGGCUAUGCGUCAGCGCCAUAGCAUACGCCGGCGUUUGACGCAGAAGUAUAAAUCAGCCUUAAGUCAAGAACCAAAUGAAGCACCAGAGUACAGAUUAUGGAGGUAUCUGAAGUUGAACUAACUGGAAGCAGGGAACCAUACUAAUAAAGUUCCUUAAGCAGGUUCCUUGUAAAGAUUAACCCAGGGAAGGAUCGAAAGUGGAGAAGACCAGAUCAAGAAAGACUACAUCAAGAUCUGCGGUCAGUUCAAAGGAUGUUUUGCAUUGGACUGUUUUUUUUUUGGCUUUGACCCUUGCUUGCCCCUGACCUCACUCUUGGACUGCCCUGUUGGAUUUUCAGUUUAUUUAA